AGAUUUUCUUCCAGUUAACAUUACAUACAGUCUGCAGUUAAAGUUUUCAAAACAUUUAUUAGAUUCAUUAACUAUCCUAAAUUUUUACCAAACUUGGACAGAAGCUUCUUACAAUCAUAAGAUAGUAUCAAGAGGAAUAUUUUUAUUGAUUUUUUUCCUCAUUUUUGUUGAGCCUGCGAUUUACAGCAAAAGUAGGCGAGACACUGGGUUCCGCGGAACCCUUACAAAUUUUUAUUAAUGAUUGGUACAAAAGUUGAACAAAGGAUUUAAUGGUAUUUCUAUGAGAUCCAUUAUUAUAUGUAUACCUUUAUAUGAUAAUUAAAAUGUUAUGCUGUUUCUGUUAAUGAUUAUUACUUGUUGCAAUACCAC
rnacentral:lncRNA from 1 species